CUCCGUAGGCGGAGCUUGGCCCGCCCGGGAACGCACGCCGGGUUCGGGUCAGGGCACCGAGCUUCCCCAACACCAGGCAGGAAGCUGCUGCCCCGCAGAGUUCGGACUGCUCAUUCGACACCCGGUAAGCCUUUCUUAAGCCGGCAGCCCACAACCGAGAGCCGGGUGGAGGAUACCAACGAGAG
rnacentral:lncRNA from 1 species